GGGGUACCGCGGCCACGGGGAGCCCGGCCCGGCCCGGCGGGGCUGAGGGGAACGGGGCUGUGCCCGGCCUUGGCAGGCGCUGCUGAGGGAGAACGGCCCUGCUGGAGCUCACGUUGUACCCAGCAGAGCUGGUAGGCCUGAUGUCCUCCACCGAAUGUUUCUCUGGGGCAGGAAAGCAUUUCAGAGCACAACCUGAACAAUUUGUCUCUUCAUGGUUCCAGUGACUCCACCUUCCUUCCAAUUCAGGGUCUAAAAGUCAGUCAAAAAUACAAGUUUUGCAAUCACUGCUGUGCCAGUUAAGACUAUGAGAAGCCCUCCCCCUGGUUCACCCAGAAACACCAGUGAGAGCUGUAAGGUGGAAGACCUUAGGGGCAACAGCAACCUUUUGAUCAAGCUUCUGGGGAAGCAAGUUCAGGUGCAGAGCCCCCAGGCUUUUCGGCCUGUGGGCCUAUGGCAGCCUGCAGAGUUCCCCCUGCACCUGCCCAGUACCUGCCCAGUACCCCCUGCACCUGCCCAGUACCACCAGCGAACGCAGACGUGGAGAUCCACGGCUUUCCCCAGGAGACUGUGCUAAGGGUGGCCCGGGAACUGAAGAGGUUCACGGGCUGCACUCCAGUAACGGCUGGUUUAAUCCAUAAAUCAACACAAGUCCUUCAGGAGCUGCAGCUCCCCAAGGACAGGCUCUGCCAAGCUGUUUGCCAGCUUCUGUCUAACCACGACCAUCUGCCUGACCCGUCCAGGGCGAGCUUUCCAUGGCUUCUGGCCCCACAAGCCCUGCCUGGGCCCUGCUCCACGUUCACACCAGGAGUUUCGCCCUGAACAGCCCUCACUAAACUGCGGUGCCCUCCUGCUCUGUUAUGACAACGUUCGGAGUAAACUGUCUCCUCCCAAACAUCCCCUCCCUUCUGCCGCAGUUACACCCUUCUUGCUCUACUCCAAUGUACGUUCCCUUUGCCAGGCCUGCAGGUCUGAUCUCCAACCUCCUGCCCACUUCCUUUGACGUGCCAUUUUACUCCCUUUCAAGAAGUCAAGUCCUGUUUCUUCCUUCUCUCCUGUUUUUCUGACCAGGAUGGUUCCUGCAGGUGUUUCUCCCUCCCCUCUGGUGGCUCCAGGAAAACUUUAGUGACUGUCACUGUGGUUGGUUCUCCCAACUCACCUGUCCUGAUGUAUCUCAGGCGUUCUUGAAUGGGAGGUUGCAGGGCUACAUAAAAUAAUAAUAAAUAAUUAUCCGUAUGAAGGAUCUCUCCCUUCCCAGCAGGUCUGAAUUAGCAUCCUCUUUCUAGAAGAGUCUCUUAGGAUGUUAAUUGUCAUCUGCCCCCUGGGAUGUGUCUAAGCAAACCUUCUACCAGCAAGGUCUAUUAGCAUGUUAAUGUCCUCCUCACUCCUGGAAGUCUCUCUGUAUCACUGGCUUAAUCGUCAAACAGCUUAAUUUACAGACACAAAAUUAAACUGGUUGCAAUUAAUCUCUACGGGCCGGUCACAGCUCGAGCUGAGCACAAACACCGGCCCCGUGCAAGCCACGCCAGCCCUCGCCACCGCUGUCCUUUGUUGACAGAGACGAGCGCACGUCUUCACCCGGCACGCGGAGGGACCAGAGUGGGAGGUAUUUUACACUCCAGCUACGUUUGGAGGAGGAAAUAGCUCCUCUGGAAAUGCUGACUGAGGGGGGAGGCUGCCUCUAGCUCGGGCUGUGCCCACAGAGGCGAGAGGCAUGGGAUUUCCAGUGCGGAAACACAGCAUGUAGCGACCACAGCGAAGUGCGCCAGGAACCAAGGGGCUGAGGGCCCCCACCACUGGGGCCGUGCACCUCCCGCACCUCAGCUUCACUCAAGGCGUCACACUGCCUCCACCGAUUCUGCGAUUAGACCUGUUGCUAAUUAAGCACGAUCUAUUUUUAAAAGAGUUGCAUCAUUUAAAUAAAUUUACGGCCCAAUUAGAAGCGAAGCAGUGCAGUUUGCUUAGACGGGGCUUCACUGCCUUCUACCAGGCUGACCCGACGGGGGGCCAAACGUGCUUCACCCUGCCUGCCUUACAGUUCUGCUGCAGCUUCAGGGAGGGAAACCUGCACCCACUGAACGAUGCAGGGCGCUGGAAGCUGGAUGGGCCAAAGCUCCAGCAAAAGGCUGAGCCUGGGUGGGCUCUCUGACUGCCACAAACAGCGUUUGAGGUCUGCGGGGCUCUUGCUGGGACCCUCUGAGCCAGAAGACGCCGGCCUGGAUGCGACCAAUCUGCCAGGACGGGUUAUUUACAGACGCACCACGUAGCUGCAGUUGACGCAAUUCCUAUUCCUCCUCUCACACUGUGCCUCAGAGGCGAGCAGAUGAUGAGCCACCAGGAAGGGGGUGCUGGGGUCCUUGCCUCGCCCGUGCCAACGCGAAGCGGUGCCAGGAAGGAGAGGCGAGAAGUUUUGCUCUGCGUGCGGCCAGCAACCACGGCGGCUGCGCUGCGACUCGUGCGUGGGCGGCUCGGGCCGGGCCGCGUAGGGGAAGGCGAGUGCUGCCCUCUCUGCAUGUGUGAGAGAUGACCUUGGGAAAGGUGGCUUCAGUCACCAUCCCCGGACUGGCAAUAUGCUCCGCUGGGAGCGAGCCAACGCUCUGAGCAGACAGAUCUAACCUGAUCCAGGCUUGGCCUCACUGGGACGUGCUCCAGCCAUGACAUCACUCGGUAAUGCUACGUGUAUUUACUACUGGGGGAAGGUGCGGGAUCGGAGCCUGAAAUCCCUGCUUUAUCCCCUGAGCAGGUUAGGGACAGGAAGCAGCAUUAGCAGCCCCAUCCGGGUGUUCUUCAGGCUAAGAGGAAUCAGGUUCCACAGCCAACACAGCCCUCAGCCCUGCUGUCUGAGAACUCGCAUCCCCUAUUUUCACGCUCCCCGUGAGACGUGCUUGCCACCCGAACCUCGGGAAGCUCCUUGCAGGGUGCCACCACCCCCCUCUUAGCUCGGACUCAUCUCACAGCACUUUGCAAGCAGAGCAAACGGAUACCUGGAGUCAGGUAUCCACUGCGCCGUCCGCAGACGUUACAUCAAUAAUGGAUCAAGGGAUUAAAUGCAGAGCUGAAGCAACCAGAAGGGAAAUUCAGACUUUUAAAAGACGUGAAAUUGCUCUCGUUGCACGUGGAGCAGCGCAGGGCCUGAAAUUCCACUGGGGGCAAGGAAGGCACCCCAGCCCGUCAGGCAGCCACGGGCCUCAGGCCUGGCCGGGACACGCUGCUGGGGCACAGGCUUGUAGCUGGGAGUCACUGCUGAGGACCAGACAGUUUUAGACAGGUAGGUGACAGAUGGCUACAGACAGGGGAUCAGAGGGAAUCAGCGGUACGGCAGCAGCGUCAGGACAGCUGCCCGUUGGGGCUUGGGAAGCUCUAGAACUGGCGAGGAGGCAACCUCGCUGAGCUUGCAGGGGCAGAGCAGGAAGAGGGGAGUAGCUCGGUAGGAACCAGAGCUGUUGGAGGCCACGAAGGAGCAGACUGCCCCGUGGGAAUGCUCCCGGAGAGCUGCUGAAGCGCACAGAGCUCAGGCGGCCAGGCAUCCAUCAGUGUGCGGGGGGUGCCUGAAGUCAGCUCCGAACCCCACGGACCGCUCGGGAAGCUCUGUGCGAGCAGCCGUCGCUCCGUGCUGCUCAAAUCCAUUGGCAAGCUAGAAGCCUAAAGCCUGUCAUUAGGGAUCAUAAAAACAGUAAUUAGACCAGACCGGCACGAGUUCACGCCCAGACCAUCAAUAUGAGGCAUUUACCCAGCAGCAGGGGACCACCGCCCUCGGAAAUCUUCCUCGGCUGGGGACGCGGGAGGCCUGACGCUCCACCUUGCCAGUCACAUAGGCACGAGGCCGUUUUAUUGAAGAAGCCCGAGAUGGCGUGUGGAGGUAGGGAGGUUGGAGCUGCACUACCAGGAGCAUCAGCGGGACUCCUUGCCGGCCUCCCAAACGGCCGCCUCUCUAAAUGCUAUCUUGUUUGCCAAGCCCAUCUCUCUUCCAAGUGCUAAUAGGUGACAUUAACUAAAACACGAGCCAAGCUUAAAGUAAAGGUUCUUCUAA